rnacentral:rRNA from 1 species
UGCCAGACUCCUACGGGAGGCAGCAGUGAGGAAUAUUGGUCAAUGGUCGGGAGACUGAACCAGCCAAGCCGCGUGAGGGAUGAAGGUACAGAGUAUCGUAAACCUCUUUUGUCGGGGAACAAAGGCGGGGACGCGUCCCCGGAUGAGUGUACCUGAAGAAAAAGCAUCGGCUAACUCCGUGCCAGCAGCCGCGGUAAUACGGAGGAUGCGAGCGUUGUCCGGAAUCAUUGGGCGUAAAGCGUUCGUAGGCGGUAAAGUAAGUCAGAUGUUAAAGCCCGGGGCUCAACUCCGGUUCGGCAUUUGAUACUACUUGACUAGAAUGCGGUAGAGGUAAAGGGAAUUCCUGGUGUAGCGGUGAAAUGCGUAGAUAUCAGGAGGAACAUCGGUGGCGAAAGCGCUUUACUGGGCCGUUAUUGACGCUGAGGAACGAAAGCCAGGGUAGCAAACGGGAUUAGAUACCCUCGUACUA